rnacentral:rRNA from 1 species
UACGGUAGGUGGCAAGCGUUGUCCGGAUUUACUGGGCGUAAAGAGCGCGCAGGCGGUCGUACAAGUCGCGUGUGAAAGCCCCCGGCUCAACUGGGGAGGGUCACGCGAUACUGUUCGACUCGAAGGCAGGAGAGGGAAGCAGAAUUCCCGGUGUAGUGGUGAAAUGCGUAGAUAUCGGGAGGAAUACCAGUGGCGAAGGCGGCUUCCUGGCCUGUUCUUGACGCUGAGGCGCGAAAGCUAGGGUAGCAAACGGGG